CUCCGCGCUCACAGCGCCAGUUUUUGCCGAGAAGCCCGCUUGGGGCGAGAGAUGGGGUUGGGGAGCAAGGGAUCAGCUAGGAAAGCAGGGGUCCCCUGUGGCUGAGAGGCCAGGUCUAGUGCUCAGACCCCAGGCUCACCGGGGGAAGCCUGAACCUCUGGAAGGGACUUUGAGAUGAGGCUCUGUUCCUGUACACAGUAGGUGUGCAGUGACCAUUGCAUUGAACUGACGGCCAAAGUACUGCGUGACAUUGUAAAUCACUUUCCAUUGUACUUGGAACAAAAAUCAAACUCUUUCCUGAGGCCCAAGGUUCCGGCUAUGGCCUGGCCAUCUGCUCCAAUAGGUUCUGGAUGCGGAAUGCCUGCCCGCGACCCAAAUGCUGCUUGCACUGUCCUGAAAGGGGGACUUUGAGCAAAUGACUUAACCUCUUUGACCUCAGUUUCCACAGCUGUAAAUGGGGUCAAUAAUGGAACCCUACACUCAAGGACCUUGAUGAGCUUUCACACAGUACUUAAAAUGGUGCUUGGCUCAUAGAAAAGUGCCUGAUAAAUGUUAGGAGGAUUCACUGCACCUGGGCCAUGUCCGCAUUUUCCAUCUUCCUGGACCUCCCUGAACGCAUUCCUGCCUCUGCCCCUGCAGACAGGGAUCUUGCCUUUCUCUGUCAUGGCUUCUGCUUCAGGCCUUCACUCAACUGUCACCCCAAGACGUCUUCACUGGCAUGGACCAUCCUGCUCAUCUUUAACUUAAAGCUCUGUGUUCUUCCUAGUAUUGAUCCUGAUCUGAACAGUUUUCACCUUUUUGCUUGGCCAUUAUUUCCUGUCUUCUCCUCAAAGUGUAAGUUCUGCAGAAAUGGAACCUUUCUUCUCUGCAGGCUCUCAGCACUUUGCUCAGUACCUGGAAUGUAGUAGGUGCUCAAUGAAGCCCAGGAAAUGGAUGAAUGGAGUCGCUUCCUCUUUGACCUCAACACCAGAGUGAUUGAACUUGUUAUCUCUUAUGUGCCCAAGUCUGUUGUUCAAGG
rnacentral:lncRNA from 1 species